GAUGAACGCUGGCGGCGUGCUUAACACAUGCAAGUCGAACGGUGAAGCAGGAGCUUGCUCUUGUGGAUCAGUGGCGAACGGGUGAGUAACACGUGAGCAACCUGCCCCUGACUCUGGGAUAAGCGCUGGAAACGGCGUCUAAUACUGGAUAUGUGAUGUGACCGCAUGGUCUGCAUCUGGAAAGAAUUUCGGUUGGGGAUGGGCUCGCGGCCUAUCAGCUUGUUGGUGAGGUAAUGGCUCAACAAGGCGUCGACGGUUAGCCGGCCUGAGAGGGUGACCGGCCACACUGGGACGGGGACACGGCCCAGACUCCUACGGGAGGCAGCAGUGGGGAAUAUUGCACAAUGGGUGGAAGCCUGAUGCAGCAACGCCGCGUGAGGGAUGACGGCCUUCGGGUUGUAAACCUCUUUUAGCAGGGAAGAAGCGAAAGUGACGGUACCUGCAGAAAAAGCACCGGCUAACUACGUGCCAGCAGCCGCCGUAA
rnacentral:rRNA from 1 species